GUUAUGGUAGCGUAUCGUUAGUAAACGUCAAGUAUCGAACACGGUCUGUGUGUAGGAAUUCUCUCACAAACUUCUACUAAUAUUGGUUUCAGGAGUUCUAAGACUAUCUGUUAUACAAGGAGUAUUACAGCCGUGGAGUACGAUGCCAAUUCGAGGUUGAAUCAACAAGUGCUUUAACUAUUUGUGGAUUUUCUCUCUUAUAUUGUGUUGCUAUGGAAUCUUACUGUGUGUUUAAAUGGAAUAUUUACAAUUCAAGAACCUGAAGGUGAUAUGCAUGACGGUGUUAGUUAGCCUUGAGGUCAC